UACCCCACUAUCAACCCAACCCACUCUAGCCUAACAGUCUAUAUACCGCCGUCGCAAGCCUACCUUGUGAAAGAAACAAAGUGAGCACAAUAGCCAUCACACUAACACGACAGGUCGAGGUGUAACUUAUGAGGGGGUUAAGAUGGGCUACAUUUUCCAAUACAGAAAACACGGAUUAAUCUAUGAAAAAGAAACUAAAGGAGGAUUUAGCAGUAUAUUAGGAACAACAUACCUAAUUGAAACCAACGCAAUGAGGUGCGUACACACCGCCCGUCAUCCCUGUG
rnacentral:rRNA from 1 species